AUUGAACGCUGGCGGCAAGCCUAACACAUGCAAGUCGAACGAGUGGCGGACGGGUGAGUAAUGUCUGGGAAACAGCCUGCUGGAGGGGGAUAACUACUGGAAACGGUAGCUAAUACAGCAUACCAUCGGAUGUGCCCAGAUGGGAGUAGCUUGUAGGUGGGGUAAUGGUGCACCUAGGCGACGACCCCGAGCUGGUCUGAGAGGAUGACCGGCCACACUGGAACUGAGACACGGUCCAGACUCCUACGGGAGGCAGCAGUGGGGAAGAUGGCACAAUGGGCGCAAGCCUGAUGCAGCCAUGCCGCGUGUAGGAAGAAGGCCUUCGGGUUGUAAAGUACUUUCAGCGGGGAGGCGUUACCCGCAGAAGAAGCACCGGCUAACUCCGUGCCAGCAGCCGCGGUAAUAC
rnacentral:rRNA from 1 species